rnacentral:ncRNA from 2 species
AGAAUCGCCACUCGACUAGGUGCCCGAACGGCCAACCGGCCAUAGGGUAAACGGGAAACAGGUGCAAGACCUGUGCUGCCCCCGCAACGGUAAGCGAGUGCGGGUGCGCCAACAAGCCACUGGGGAAACCUGGGAAGGCGGCGCAUCCCAAGCCAUCAAGGCUUGACUCGCGAGCCCGGAGACCGGCCUGUCGUGAUCGCGAGGC